AGCGCAGGCGGGAAACUAAGCGGAUCUUAAAAGUGCGGGGCUCAACCCCGUGAUGGGGUCCGAACUGGUUUUCUUGAGUGCAGGAGAGGAAAGCGGAAUUCCCAGUGUAGCGGUGAAAUGCGUAGAUAUUGGGAAGAACACCAGUGGCGAAGGCGGCUUUCUGGACUGUAACUGACGCUGAGGCUCGAAAGCAUGGGUAGCGAACA
rnacentral:rRNA from 1 species